UACGAAGGGGGCUAGCGUUGUCCGGAUUUAUUGGGUUUAAAGGGUGCGUAGGCGGCUUUGUAAGUCAGUGGUGAAAUAUGUCAGCUUAACUGAGAGGGUGCCAUUGAUACUGCAGAGCUUGAGUACAGAUGAGGUAGGCGGAAUUGACGGUGUAGCGGUGAAAUGCUUAGAUAUCGUCAAGAACACCUAUAGCGAAGGCAGCUUACUAGGCUGUAACUGACGCUGAGGCACGAAAGUGUGGGGAUCAAACAGG
rnacentral:rRNA from 1 species